rnacentral:lncRNA from 7 species
GGAAACCUCAUGUUCUUCUCUGCCGAAGGAAGAUUAAAACUAGGACCUGUUUAUCACUGAAAAGAAGUGCCCAUCUGAGGUUCUUCCUAUCAGCACAGGAGGCAGAGACAAGAUUUCUAAUGAACCAUUCAGUACAAGCACUUUGAAACUACCUAAUCACCAACAGAUUUCACCUGCAACAGACUUAGAACUUUCCAGCUGGAGAUGCAUGUUAUGAAGAGCAUUAAGAGCUGCAGAAUGGGUACUGUAAAGUUUUUACUAACCAGUUUUUGAAAUGAGAUGCUUCUAGCUCAGGAGAGCAUUGAAGGCAUAUUUAAAUCCUCCUGAAAACUCUAAGCCAGUGCUUAAGUGCUUUUGGAAAUCAUCACUGGCUACUAACUGAUGCUGAGCGAGAUGAAAGUGUUGGGUGCUGGGAGACAUUUUGUAGUAUUUGCCAAGUGCUCAUGCACAAACCCCGAAACUGGGCAGAGGCUUUGGGAGGUCCCAGCCAUGUCUCCUUGGAAAAAUGUUUUCCCAUGAGGCCCAUGGCUGCAACUCAAACUCAGCUGCCCCAUGGCAUUGCUCCACACAAAAGAAAGGGUCCAGCCACACAGCUUGUAAUGCCAAAGAUGGAUACCAACACAGUGGGAACACAUCGUUUCUUAACUGCUUUGAAGAAAGUGCUGUAAUGUCAGUGCAUCAGCAGAGGAGGAAGUGCUACUUGUGGGUAAAAUUCAAUGAAUGAAUUAACCAAGGAGCAUAAUACCUCAUUGCCAACUGAGAGCAAAUCCUUGAAGUUCAGUGCUAUUCCACUUAAAAUAUUUCAGUUGGAUCUCAAACCAAGAUGUGCAGAAGAAUUGUUACCACUGAAGAAGCUGGAUUUUUUGUCAAGAAGGAGACUCGUGAUUCCUUUGCUUCAGGGAAAUUUAAAUGAAGAAACGUUCAAUUUGGAGGUUUGCCUAUUCUACUUGGAAAAUGUUAAAAAAUGGGUUGAAGAAAACAAGAAGAGCCAGAAAAGACUGCAAAGGAAAAUUGCCAUAUCUUUAGUCAAGUUUAUAAAUCUUUCCCUGGGACUUUUUGACAAAUGACUGCCCACCAACUUUGUGAGAUUUCUCCUGGACAUGCCUCAGAAACUUCUGGCAUUUUGCCAUGCAGGUUUGCCCGCUAGAAUUUCUCAAAUGUUUUUUUUUUUAAUUUUUCAUGGGAGGAGGUUGUUUUCUCAAGGAGUGUUGGUGCCUUUUCCAUCCAGUCUCUCUCACUUUUCUUAAGUACAGACUCGCUUACAUUCAGAUUAAUUUUGGGCAAGGUCAGGAGUAGUGAAAUGGCCAUAAGCAUAAUGCUGUUGCUGCUGUUUUCACAGGCCAUCUCUGAGAGCAGCUGAAGUUGCAUGUUUUUCUGGCUCGGUUGAGAAGUAAUUUGGAAUAGAGCUCCUUUGACUCAAGCAUUGAAGCCAGACCUAAAUGCUUGAGUGAGAUUUCCACACUAACAUAAACUGAAGCACAUCCAAACAUCUGCUGCUCAACAUGCCUGAGAGUUAUCUUUCACCCUCUUGCCAGAUUCCUUGGUGCCACAUAUAGAUUUGUAGUUCCCUCUGUGGAUUUCUUUUCCCUUUUCCUCUGCUGUGCUCUUCUGAUCAUCCUCUAAUGGACCUGAACCUCUGUCAAAUACAUCUCUUUGCCACUGUGGGCAAACCAUUUGUCUUGAAUGGUGUAGAUCUGCUUGUUUUUUCCCAGAGGACUCUCUUGUUGACUACUAAUACAUGGUUUCUGGUACUGGAGCAUGUGCAGGACAGUGAUGUUCUUGUAGAGUGGAGCUCAUUAAGGAUAUUGAUUUGGGGUGAACUAUGGUAACUGGAUUGAACUGUUGCUCCCAAAUCCCUGUGUCUACGUCACUUUGCUCCAAGGAAUUGCUGAGACACCCAAGGAAAGAGUGUAGCUGCUCUAGGCUACCAUUUUCAGUUGAUGAGGUGAGCAGAACAUCAGAGAAUGGUCUGGGGGUGUCCUGUAGUGCUCUUAGCUGUUUUUGUUGACUCAUCUCCUGAUGUGGCUGCCUUUGGUAGUCACAGAGAUGUGCCUGGGAGGGAUGCAGACAGAUGAGGCAACAGGCAGAGCAGAGAGCUUCAGAUGAGUUAUUUGCAUCCAGACAAGGAACAGGGAAAAUAAAAGGACCUUGUGUCACAGUUCUGGGGCUCUUGGGGUUGUAUCAUACUGUCACUGUAGAGUUCAGUGGAGGACAGUUGUUUUGCUUUAAAAAUGGGAGAGUGAACAGUUUUAUUUAACUAAGAGUUAUGGAGAAGUCCAGUAUCCAUCUGACAACAAUCAUGGCAAGAGAAAAGGAUGUUUUUUGCUGCAUGAGCUGUAUGUGAUUAUAGUUCUCUUCUUCCUUUACCUAUGCAGGUAGCAUACAUGUCAGCACGUAGCUUCAAAACCUACCAUCUUCAUGAGUUGUGUUUAUAGUUAUACACUUAUUAAAUGAUUGUGUGCACUC